UUUUGUGGUGGGAAAUUUGUUAUUCCUGAAUGGCAGAAAAUCUUUAAGCCAUAGCUCUCUCUUCCAUGAUCCAUCGAGAAUGAAUCGAGACUUUCUCCAUAACACCGUCUUCAUUGUCAUGGGAUGAAUCUUCUUCUUCACCUUCUUCAUUUUCGUCUCUCGUUUCUGCCUUUUGAUCAUUUCUGUCCUCUUCCCCCUCCUUACAGUUACAGCUAUACGUUGCAAUGCCUACAUUUACAACAAUAGCUUUAGAUACUUUGAUAGAACCAAAAGCUUCUAAGCUGACAGCAACAGGGAAAACUAAAUCUGAUCCAAAACUGGAAAGGAGGAAUAGUAGUGGAAUUCCUGGUGCCGAAAGAAAGUCUGUGUCCAGGAAUAAUUCAGUGACUAUAGAGAGAAAGCACCACUGGACUCAGAUUUCACCUGCACUCUAUGCUACUCCAGAGCCGACACCAGUUCCAGAUGCUCCAUUAUCAUUUCCUGCAUCACCUUACAUUGUAGAACAUAAGAGGCGUGGACCACGGCUUUCAAAGACUUACUCUCAGGAUGAUGCUGUUCUUAAGAAAGCUGUAGCUGAUGAAAAUACAGUUGAGAUCAAGAAAAGUGUGGAAGCAGAAGACGUUGGAUCUAGCAAGGUUUUUGACUUCACUAAUGUUGUUUCUGGUGAUGUUGACUACAAACGUGUCAAGUUUCAGCAGAAGGAAAAUCUUGGAAGAGCAGAAGAUGUAGGAUCUAGCAAGGUUCCAGAUACUGUUUCUAGUGAUAUUGAUGCUGAGGAUAACCAUGUCAAACUUGCAAAUAGACAUGACAUUUCCAAAAAGUCUGACACAUUGGAACGAGAAGGUGAGAUAGAUGACUUCUUUGAUCCUCACGAGGCAAUGAGCGUCAGAAGCAACACUGAUGCAGAAAGUGUUCAUGGAGUAGAGCGGUCUUUAAAUCCAAACACUCCAUUUGCUGAGUUUUAUGAUGCUUGGGAAGACCUUGCCACUGAGACUGGAAUCCAGCAUACUGCAACAGAUGCUGAGGGUGAAUUACGUGAACUACGAACAGGCUUUUUGAUUGAGAUGGAGAAAAGGAAGCAAGCGGAAACCCGCCUGAAUGAUAUAAAAAGCCAAUGGGGGAGGAUCCGAGAACAAUUAUCUGUUGCUGGUCUGAGUUUUCCCGCAGAUCCUACUAUGGUGGAGGAUGAACCAUCCGAUGAUCCUGGAGUAGAGGUAUGUCAUCAGAUUGAUCUUCUCCGUUUUGUGUCCAACUCUGUUGGACGAGGAAUAGCAAGGGCCGAGCUUGAGGCUGAACUGGAAGCCCAGUUGCAGUCUAAGAACUUUGAGAUUGCUAGGCUAUUGGACAGACUGCACUACUAUGAAGCUGUAAAUCAUGAGAUGUCUCAAAGGAAUCAAGAAAGUGUAGAAACCAUGCGUCGUGUUAGGCAAAGGAGGAAGAGGAGACAAAGGUGGAUUUGGGGUUCAAUUGGGAUUGCAAUUACACUUGGAAGUACCGCCUUAGCAUGGUCUUACCUCUCAUCUGGAAAAGGAUCUUCUCCUAUUCACACUUCUGAAAGCAACCAAUCCGCUAAGAAAUGACUACCCUCACUGAGUAUGCCGAAGAUGACCCAUUAAGAAAACCAAAAAAGAAAAGCUGAACAAAGCAUUAAUGGUGAAAAGCUGAAAUGAGAUUUACAUAAAUAGGUUACAUACAUACAUUUGCAGAGGUAAUAACAUGGACAUACGUACGUUUUUUGGCAGGGGAUAAAAGCAGUUUACAUUUUCACUAUGAAUGUAAACUGGUAUUGCUUAUAUGAUGAGUCAAAUUGGUGGCAAUGGUUAUGAAUUAAUGGAGAAAGUUCCUAUUAAUUGAUGAUAUAUCCAACUAUCUAUGCUCGUUGAUUUUGUUUACAGUUAUAUUUGGAAAUAUAAGACCUUAA